GCUCUAUGACAAUGUUACCCAACAUAAUGAACCGACCAUAACUCGAUCACAAUUUAAAAAUACCUAUAUUUCUAUAGAUUUAAAUUUUAAGUAAUAAACAUUGAU